UACGUAGGCAGCAAGCGUUGUUCGGAAUCACUGGGCGUAAAGGGUGCGUAGGCGGGUCUUUAAGUCAGGGGUGAAAUCCUGGAGCUCAACUCCAGAACUGCCUUUGAUACUGAGGAUCUUGAGUUCGGGAGAGGUGAGUGGAACUGCGAGUGUAGAGGUGAAAUUCGUAGAUAUUCGCAAGAACACCAGUGGCGAAGGCGGCUCACUGGCC
rnacentral:rRNA from 1 species